CGAGCAAACAACGGCCAGGAGGACUUGCACUCUGGUUUGAGUUUUCAAAUAUUCGAGUUUUCGAAGUAUUGCCUGUUUUGGCAGAUCAGAUUAGCCGGCCUGUGGGCUUCUUGGGAAUCAUAACACGUGUCUCGAUCACUUGGACGGCCUCGUGGAUGCCUCGUGAAUGCAUUUAUGGUCCUUGCAUGCCCCGUACCAACUGACUUAUACUUUUCGGAUUACGUUUCAUUUCGUACCUUGAUAUGGUUGCGUACAGCUGGUGCGCUAUUUAGGCUUUCGUUUUUAAAGCAACCAUACAGGGGCAAUUGAUGUUGGCAAUUUGCAAGACCAACAGAUCUGGUUGUUUAGACGAGGUAGUUUACGAUAGUUUCUGAUGAUUAGGUUUAUCUUGUUUAUGGUCAUUUUCAAUGUCCACGAGUGUUUAUUUUUAUGAUUUAUGCAUAUGUCGCCGAGUAGGCGUGAUGUUUCAGUGGACAGCCGCAGCCAAACACAUGGACAGCACCCGCAUGGACAGCCGCAGCCGAACACAUGACGUACCUAAUAAGAUGUCGACAUCUGCCAAGAUAGAUAUGCUGAGCGAGGUAGGUGGUGGCCCACGGGGCCCUCAAUAAGGGCUGCUAAGCACGUCGGAGGCGAGUCCGUGCUGGCUCCUCACGAGCGCACGAUUUCGCUUUUUGUCCUGUAACAUUCUCGUCACAUUUCUACUCUUUCCCAACCCGCUGUGAUAGGUAAUAAGAGUCCUAUCCAGGGGUAGCCUUGAGGCGUUCUGGCAACAUCCCACAUGAUGACGUGGCUAUCUGCAGCCCUUUCCUCUCCGUCCUGUCUUCGUUCAUCUUAAAUCGUUGCGCGACUCUUUCGCGCGAUUCGGCCUACUCAAGCACGCACUCGUCCUUUGGGCUAUUUCCCUACGGAACUUAAAGGCUGCUGAUGCCGUUUGACCGCUAGGGUGCUGGCGCAGGGUGCUGACGUGUAAGAUAGCUACUAGGCGUGGACCGGUAGUUUGUAAGUGAAGUUGCAAUUAGCGUUCGUAGAUCGCUUGAUUCGGAAAUUCCAACUGGAUUGUUGGGAAGUGCUCGGUAUUCGUCAAGCGGGUGUCUCUGAGCUUUCUUCUCGACGUCUGCUUACUUCGCAAGCUUGCUUGUCCUGUUGGCUGGGCGCGUGCUUCAUUUGGGGUGAAGCCAGGAUGGGCAUAAUGGCAUCAAAUGCUCGUACUAUGCUUUUGUAUUGAUUCCAGCAUGGAAGCGUAAACGGCCUUAUUAUAACCAGCUGGAAGCUGUACUGAUAAGCGUCGGUCCUGUGCUGCAUGCAGCUUGCAGCAGGGCCUGCAGCGUCAUCAUCAUGCUCUGGAAAAGCUGCGCGGCUGCCAGCGCACGUCACUAGUACUGCUACAAAAACGGGCCUGAAGGGUCUGCUGGCUCGAUGCAACACACCUUGCACCAUUUUACCAUAAUCGGACGCACAGCAGUCAACUUGGGAUUGCAGCAGCAGCCCCUUACUUGCAUCUGCAGCAAAGCAACGGAUCGCUGACUUCUUUGUUGUACCUGGUUGUACUGCUCACUACAAACAAAGGGUUGCACUUUUGCACGACUUAAGUUUGCUUUGCGCCUUACUAAUGAGAGGUGCGUUUUACAACUGACAACGAACAGACACUCAUCAGCAUAAGGCUCUUGCCAAUAAACUCAAGACCUUUACAACUAG
rnacentral:lncRNA from 1 species